ensembl:snRNA U6 U6 spliceosomal RNA
GUGCUUGAUUAUGCAGCACACAUACGAAAAUUGGAAUUAUAUGGAGAAGAUUAGCAUGGCCCUUGCACAAGGAAGACAUGCAAAUUCUGAAGCAUUCCAUAUUUAU